GACGAACGCUGGCGGCGUGCUUAACACAUGCAAGUCGAACGAUGAAGCUGGAGCUUGCUCUGGUGGAUUAGUGGCGAACGGGUGAGUAACACGUGAGUAACCUGCCCUGGACUCUGGGAUAACCCCGAGAAAUCGGAGCUAAUACCGGAUAGGACCUUGCACCGCAUGGUGUGGGGUGGAAAGUUUUUCGGUCUGGGAUGGACUCGCGGCCUAUCAGCUUGUUGGUGAGGUAAUGGCUCACCAAGGCGUCGACGGGUAGCCGGCCUGAGAGGGUGACCGGCCACACUGGGACUGAGACACGGCCCAGACGCCUACGGGAGGCAGCAGUGGGGAAUAUUGCACAAUGGGCGCAAGCCUGAUGCAGCAACGCCGCGUGCGGGAUGACGGCCUUCGGGUUGUAAACCGCUUUUAGUAAGGAAGAAGGGGCUUCGGCCUCGACGGUACUUGCAGAAAAAGGACCGGCUAACUACGUGCCAGCAGCCGCGGUAACAC
rnacentral:rRNA from 1 species